ACAUUCAUUGUUUCAACAGCAGUAUGAGGGGGUACCAUCUCUGUAAGAAUUUGUGUGAUACCAUGUUCUCACUGGACAAAUGCCAUCA